rnacentral:ncRNA from 1 species
GCCCACAACUCCGACCAAGGAAAGUGCUCUGAUACCAAUUGUUAAGAACCUGAAUAGAUAUAUCAAUAUAAUCACCACAAAUACUGAAUACACAAUAUAUCCACAAAGAAAGAUAGAAGAACAAUAUGCAAAAACUCUCUUAUUACUAUCAAACCCUUAGGGUAGGGCAACACCGUACAAUGGAUCCUAUUAUGGAAGGGAUCCUCUCAUGUUCACUUGCCUCUUCGAGGGGGCAUCCUCCUAUUGAGCUACCGCUCCAAAUACAAUAAUUUUCUUCAUGUCUCAUUACAUUGAUUGAAUCUCUUUAUAUAGUGUUACCAUCACCUAAGAACAUUCUAAAGGAGGAAUCUUCUAGAAGUAGAACCUUCUAAGAAGUCCUCUUACAUUUAUUAUAUCUAAUUACCCAUUUAUUAUAUCUAACUACCAUAGUGGGUCUUAUUUAAUAAUAUAGUAGACCUAGUCCACCUUACAUUAAAUGACCUCCACUAUUAUCACUAUGGGCCCUCUAGGCGCCCCCACUACCUCUCUAGCUACCUUACAAAGACCCACCCGUCAAGCAGGGACGCAAGUCAGCCUUAGUGAUAUGACGGUGCCGAGUGGAAGGGUCGUCGCUCAAUGGAUAAAAGUUACUCUAGGGAUAACAGGCUGAUCUUCCCCAAGAGUUCACAUCGACGGGAAGGUUUGGCACCUCUAUGUUGACUCUUCGCCACCUGGGGCGGUAGUACGUUCCAAGGGUUGGGCUAUUCGCUCAUUAAAGUGGUACAUGAGCUGGGUUCAGAACGUCAUGAGACAGUUCGGUCCAUAUCCAGUGCGAGCGUUAGAGAAUUGAGAGGACCUUUCCCUAGUAUAAGAGGACCGGGAAGGACGCACCUCUGGUGUACCAGUUAUCAUGCCCACGGUAGACGCUGGGUAGCCAAGUGCAGAGCGGAUAACUACUAAGAGCAUAUAAGUAGGAAGCCCACCCCAAGAUGAGUGCUCUCCUAUUCUUACUUCCCUGAGAGCCCUAGUUGCGAACACGGCUGGGACAAUGACGGGUUCUCUGUCCUUGCAGGGGAUGGAGCGACAAAAGUAUUGAGAAUCCAAGAUAAGGUCACGGCGAUAUGAGUCGUUUAUCAUUAUGAUAGGUGUCAAGUGGAAGUGCAGUGAUGUAUGCAGCUGAGGCAUCCUAAUAAACUGAGAGAUUUGAACCU